GGUUUAAUUCGAUGAUACGCGAGGAACCUUACCCGGGCUUGAAUUGCAGAGGAAGGAUUUGGAGACAAUGACGCCCCUUCGGGGUCUCUGUGAAGGUGCUGCAUGGUUGUCGUCAGCUCGUGCCGUGAGGUGUCGGCUUAAGUGCCAUAACGAGCGCAACCCCUCUCCUUAGUUGCCAUCAGGUCAAGCUGGGCACUCUGGGGGACACUGCCACCGUAAGGUGUGA
rnacentral:rRNA from 1 species